AAAAAAACAUUCAGACCGUCGGUCUACCGAGCAAUAUCACCAGCUCGGUGGAAGAUCUUCCCUUUGUCGUAUAUA
rnacentral:pre_miRNA from 1 species